rnacentral:lncRNA from 1 species
ACCACAUUUAAAAGAAUGUCUGUUUCCCCUCCCCCGGGUCUACCCUUUGUAAACAGACCAGGAAGGCAGGUUCUUUUUUUUUUUUUAACUGGAUGUGAUUGUCAUAGCAUGGUCACAUGAAUGGUUUGACUUGUCCAGUCCAGGCCACUUAUCAGUUGUUUGUGCUCAAUUUGAGUGUAUUUAUUUAGAUUAUCAAUCCUGCUGCUUUCAAGCACAUUCCAAAAAUGAAACAUUAUUUUCAGGAAAAAAAUAAUUUUGAUUUUUUUGUGGAAAAUAAUUUUUUGACCCAGGGGCUUAUUUUUGACCCGGGUGGGGGGAGGGG